rnacentral:rRNA from 1 species
AACGAACGCUGGCGGCAUGCCUAACACAUGCAAGUCGAACGAGACCUUCGGGUCUAGUGGCGCACGUGUGCGUAACGCGUGGGAACCUGCCCGUAGGUUCGGUAUAACUCACCGAAAGGUGUGCUAAUACCGGAUAAGCUCUUCGGACCUAAGAUUUAUCGCCUUUGGAUGGGCCCGCGUUGGAUUAGCUGGUUGGUAGUGUAAAAGCAUACCAAGGGGAGGAUCCAGGGCUGGUCGGAGAGGAUGAUCCGCUGCGAUGGGAAUGCGACCCGGCCUAGACCCCUACGGGACGGAGCAGUGGGGAACAUUGGACGCUGGGCGCUAGUGCGAUCACGCAACGUGGCGUGAGUGAUGCAGCCGUUAGGGUUCCACAUCCCUCUUAGCCGGGAUGAUAAUGACAGUACCGGGUGAAUAAGCUCCGGCUAACUCCGUG